rnacentral:rRNA from 1 species
UGGGGAAUAUUGCACAAUGGGCGCAAGCCUGAUGCAGCCAUGCCGCGUGUGUGAAGAAGGCCUUCGGGUUGUAAAGCACUUUCAGCGGGGAGGAAGGCGAUAAGGUUAAUAACCUUGUCGAUUGACGUUACCCGCAGAAGAAGCACCGGCUAACUCCGUGCCAGCAGCCGCGGUAAUACGGAGGGUGCAAGCGUUAAUCGGAAUUACUGGGCGUAAAGCGCACGCAGGCGGUCUGUCAAGUCGGAUGUGAAAUCCCCGGGCUUAACCUGGGAACUGCAUUCGAAACUGGCAGGCUUGAGUCUCGUAGAGGGGGGUAGAAUUCCAGGUGUAGCGGUGAAAUGCGUAGAGAUCUGGAGGAAUACCGGUGGCGAAGGCGGCCCCCUGGACGAAGACUGACGCUCAGGUGCGAAAGCGUGGGGAGCAAACAGG